AUACGUAGGGUGCAAGCGUUAUCCGGAAUUAUUGGGCGUAAAGGGCUCGUAGGCGGUUCGUCGCGUCCGGUGUGAAAGUCCAUCGCUUAACGGUGGAUCCGCGCCGGGUACGGGCGGGCUUGAGUGCGGUAGGGGAGACUGGAAUUCCCGGUGUAACGGUGGAAUGUGUAGAUAUCGGGAAGAACACCAAUGGCGAAGGCAGGUCUCUGGGCCGUUACUGACGCUGAGGAGCGAAAGCGUGGGGAGCGAACAGGAUUAGAUACCCUGGUAGUCCACGCCGUAAACGGUGGAUGCUGGAUGUGGGGCCCGUUCCACGGGCUCCGUGUCGGAGCUAACGCGCUAAGCAUCCCGCCUGGGGAGUACGGCCGCAAGGCUAAAACUCAAAGAAAUUGACGGGGGCCCGCACAAGCGGCGGAGCAUGCGGAUUAAUUCGAUGCAACGCGAAGAACCUUACCUGGGCUUGACAUGUUCCCGACGGUCGUAGAGAUGCGGCUUCCCUUCGGGGCGGGUUCACAGGUGGUGCAUGGUCGUCGUCAGCUCGUGUCGUGAGAUGUUGGGUUAAGUCCCGCAACGAGCGCAACCCUCGCCCCGUGUUGCCAGCGGAUUAUGCCGGGAACUCACGGGGGACCGCCGGGGUUAACUCGGAGGAAGGUGGGGAUGACGUCAGAUCAUCAUGCCCCUUACGUCCAGGGCUUCACGCAUGCUACAAUGGCCGGUACAACGGGAUGCGACGCGGCGACGCGGAGCGGAUCCCUGAAAACCGGUCUCAGUUCGGAUCGCAGUCUGCAACUCGACUGCGUGAAGGCGGAGUCGCUAGUAAUCGCGAAUCAGCAACGUCGCGGUGAAUGCGUUCCCGGGCCUUGUACACACCGCCCGUCAAGUCAUGAAAGUGGGCAGCACCCGAAGCCGGUGGCCUAACCCCUUGUGGGAUGGAGCCGUCUAAGGUGAGGCUCGUGAUUGGGACU
rnacentral:rRNA from 1 species